GACGUAGGGCGCGAGCGUUUGUCCGGAUUUAUUGGGCGUAAAGAGCUCGUAGGCGGCUUGUCGCGUCGUUCGUGAAACCUGCAGCUCAACUGCAGGCUUGCGGUCGAUACGGGCAGGCUAGAGUUCGGUAGGGGAGACUGGAAUUCCUGGUGUAGCGGUGAAAUGCGGCAGAUAUCAGGAGGAACACCGAGUGGCGAAGGCAGGUCUCUGGGCCACUACUGACGCUGAGAAGCGAAAGCAUGGGGAGCGAACAGG
rnacentral:rRNA from 1 species